CCAGCGACCUCGGGGCGCUGCCAGGGGCUUUGGCAUCUGCGCGAGCGGUGGGCAAGAGGAGCAGUGUUGGAAACGCGAGCACCGGCGAGGGAUGGUGAUGCCUGCACCCCAAGGCUGAACUGGAGGUAAAUCACCAGCGGAUCGAUAACCUACCGAAGGUUCCUGAAAGGCUGCAACAUUGUACGGAGCCCGGUUAGCGGUUAAAUAAUUUCUUUAUUUAAUGUUUGCUACUUUGAGGAUACUGAAUAAAACCUUCCGGCUUGUGCUGUAACUGUUUCUUUACUGCUUAAAGUUAAAAGAAAAUAAAAACAAAGACGGUGUUUGCUAUGGAUUUUAAAAAAAUCCAUAUCUGAUGAGGGAUUUAAAGGAGCAUGAUUCGUUGUCUUUAUGUUUUGCAACGUGUCUGUGCUUUUUCUCGUCGAGCUUGGGCCUUGCAAGAACGAAUGUGUUUGUGGACAAUAAGAAUGAAUUUAGCAGGGAUCAAUGUAAACGGGGCAAGCUGUAAUUUUUAAACAUUUCUUUAGCCUCAGUUUUUAACUGAUGCAACUUGUGAAGCAAAGACAAAAGCAUAUUUGAAAUUCUACUAGAAAACUAGACAAAGAACUAUUUUUUUCCUGUACAUAAAGCCCCCUGAAAUUCUCAGCUAUCUAACUUUCAACAAAAUUAAAUUUGAACAACAUUUCUGUGCAGUUGAGGGUAACCUGCAUUGAGCAUUUUUAUACGUGUUUCCAAGGCCUGCAAGCUCAGUGUACGAAUUCAAGCUUUGUGCUUGAUAUGGUGAACAAGCUUCGCUGCAAUCACCCUUCUGCUUUAUUGAAGAAAUGUUACCCUGAAAGGUUAAAGAAAGGAGGCUAAAACAUCACUUAUUUCUAUUGUUGUAUUACAAAAACUAUAUUUAUAUAGUGGAUGUCUAGAUGCUGUGCAUUUUUUAUAUACAAUUAUCACAUGUCCUUAAAAAUCAUUAAAAUCCUAAUCUAGAAUUUUUAUCCUUAAGGUAAAUUAAUUUUGAAGCAUUUUUUUUUUAAUUAAAAAAAAGCAAGACUGUGUGUACUGGAUUUGAUCACUGUAUCUGUAGCUAUGAUCACUAUAUAUUUUUAAAUGUGCGAUCACUAUAUAUUUUUAAAUGUGCAUGUAUUUCCCUUUCCCAGAUUUGUUACAAUAACCACUCUGUUUCAGCUUCAUUUUAAAUCCAUGCUUCAAAUAAUUGAAAAGGAAAUGAAAUCAUAUUUAAUGUCUAAUAAAGAUUUUAAAAAUAAA